AGCAUCUUGGCGCAGCGGAAGCGCGUAAGCAUAGCAUAAAUUCAACUUGGUAAAAUAUGUUGUACUAACGUUAAUACAGGCCGGGCUCAUAACCCGGAGGACCCUUGAUCGAAACGAGGAGAUGCUA